CCUACGGGGGGCAGCAGUAGGGAAUCUUCCACAAUGGACGGAAGUCUGAUGGAGCAACGCCGCGUGAGUGAAGAAGGGUUUCGGCUCGUAAAGCUCUGUUGGUAGUGAAGAAAGAUAGAGGUAGUAACUGGCCUUUAUUUGACGGUAAUUACUUAGAAAGUCACGGCUAACUACGUGCCAGCAGCCGCGGUAAUACGGAGGUGGCCAGCGUUGUCCGGAUUUAUUGGGCGUAAAGCGAGUGCAGGCGGUUCAAUAAGUCU
rnacentral:rRNA from 1 species